UUGUGUUGUAAAAAUUUUCUUAGUAGUUCAUCGAUCAGGUGUUUUUCUGUCAGUAAAUUUCAAAGGAAACUCGCAGGUCCUCUUCCUAGAGAGAUAAUAAUUCGCUAAGUACUUAAUGCAAUGCAAACUAGUCUCCAUAAUGAACACCCAUAAUAAUAACAUAGGCUCUGUUCGAAUGUUACAACCAGACCAUGCCUGUAAGUUCAUACUAACACAAACAUUGGGUAUAAAUUUAGCAAUAUGAGUUUAAUUGAAUUUAUUGCGCAAACAAUUGUCUGAAUUGAUGUGAAUGGCAAAGCGAAUCAUUCUGAGUAGUGCCACCAAGAAGUGGUGCCAUGAGGCGCAGGCACUUUUUCAUACAAAUUCUUACUAAACGGAUCAGCACUUAAGCUUAAGCUGGGGUUCAUAGGCGUAAGGCUAAUUUAAUCAUUAAAAAUUUGAUUGUUGAUACGAAAUCGCUUUUUUGCCUUUGCUGAGUUGCGUCGUUUGCGCAGUUAUAUGCAACAUUUAGUUUUGAAUUCGCGCUACUAGAGUGAUGUACGAUUCACCGCGGCGUUCGACAGCGACAAUGGACGGAAAUUGCUAAAGAAAUUAGCGUUUGGAAAUGAUGUGAUGAAGUGUUAUUAUUUUUGUUUUGCGAUAGAUGAGUCGAAGUACUGAAAAUAAAUAAAUAUUUUUUAAAAAAAGUGAAAUUCAGCUGCAAGGAUUUUCAGUUGACAGCUGUAGAAAUAAGUGUUGACUGUGUGCAAGUGCAGUGAAGUGAAUGAUUGCAUGAAAACGCAUAUAAAAUAUUAAAAUAAUUGUAUAAAUACAACAAGAAAUAUAUAGAAAUAAAUAAAUAAAAAAAAUUAAAAAAAAAACUAAAGGAUUUAGGGUAACUGAAUUGAAAAUCCCUAAACUCUAAUGGAGUGAAUGUGCU